GACGAACGCUGGCGGCGUGCUUAACACAUGCAAGUCGAACGGACAGGCCCCCACUUUUUUGGUGGGGGUGCUCGAGUGGCGAACGGGUGAGUAACACGUGGGCGAUCUGCCCUGUACUUCGGGAUAUGCUUGGGAAACUGGGACUAAUAGAGGAUAGGACCAUGGUUUAGUGUCUCAUGGUGGAAAAAUUAUUGCUUUGGUGUAGGAUGAGCUCGCGGCCUAUCAGCUUGUUGGUGGGGUAAUGGCCUACCAAGGCGUCGACAGGUAACCGGCCUGAGAGGGCGGACAGCCACAUAGGGACACACAUACGGGCCAGCCUCCGACGGGAGGCAGCGGUAGGGAAUAGCGCACGAUGGGCGCAAGCCUGAGGCAGCGACGCCGCGUGAGGAAGGACGGCCUUCGGGUAGUAAACUCCUUUCGUGAGGAACGAAGCCGCACGUUUUUUGGGUGUUGUGACGGUACCUUUGUUAAGAAGCACCGGCUAACUACGUG
rnacentral:rRNA from 1 species